rnacentral:rRNA from 1 species
UACGUAGGGUGCAAGCGUUAAUCGGAAUUACUGGGCGUAAAGCGUGCGCAGGCGGUUAUGCAAGACAGAGGUGAAAUCCCCGGGCUCAACCUGGGAACUGCCUUUGUGACUGCAUAGCUAGAGUACGGUAGAGGGGGAUGGAAUUCCGCGUGUAGCAGUGAAAUGCGUAGAUAUGCGGAGGAACACCGAUGGCGAAGGCAAUCCCCGUGGACCUGUACUGACGCUCAUGCACGAAAGCGUGGGGAGCAACAGG